UAAAGGAACAGCACAACUAAUGUCAGAAAAGCGUUUCUUCAAGACAUCGACAAUUAUACCAGGAGAUGAACACUUAUUGAGCACUUUUUUAGGAUCACCGUACUAAUACUAGAGCCUCCUUUUGCUCUCAAAAUAGCGUUUCAUGGAUUUCACAAGAUGUUGGGAACAUUCCACUGAGAUAAUGGUCAGUGUUGACAUGAGUGGAUCACGCAUUUUCUGCAGAUUUGCCAGCUGCACAUCCAUACUACCGAAGGCCCAAAGUGCGCAAAGAAGGCAUUUCACCAUUACACCACCAUCACCAACCUGGACUGUAGACGCAAGGCAGGUUGGGUCCAUGGAUUCAUGCUGGCGACGCCAAGUUCAAAUUCAGUCUGUGAGUCUCAGCAGAAAUCGAGAUUCAUCAGACCAAGCUUUUCCUGUCUUCAACUGCCCAAUUCUGCGUUUAAACUUUAAUGCUCCCUGGCAGUGUGGACAGUUCGACCUGAAUUCAGGAGGGACCCCCCCCCCCUUGAUGUCUUCAUAUUUUGGCUCCCCUGAACACAUGGCAUCAAAGGCCUUCCUCUAGGUAAGCCUUUGUGUGAUCUCAUUAAAUGUUUCUAAGCACGCUGAAGACCGCUGUAGGAGUAGCCUCGCGUUGGGGUGGCCCAGACGGCCGUGGGGAUGGAUGGCUUUAAACCAGACUGGGCAAUCAAAGGCCCAACAUUCCCAUCCGCUUCCUUUUGAUGCCGGCAGCUGGCUGAUAGGAGGCCUCAUCAAAUGUGACACUUUUCUGCUAUCAGAGUUAUUGUCUGCCACAAUGAGCCUAUCGCAUUUUCACGCCAGCGCACAAGUGCGGCUUUGCCACGAGAAGAAACGUGACAAGGGGAGUCAAUGGAGUCAAUGGAGUCAAUGGAGUCAAUGGAGACUCGAACUCACCAAAUGCACAUUUUUUGGAGGCAUAGGGAGGCAUUUCUGGGGCAGAAGGCGUGAAAGCGGCCACAUGGCCAUACAGAGGCCUUGGGGUUACCAUAGAAGUUACACUUACAAUCCAGCAGGUGGAGCAGUGAGCGGAGUCGCAUGAGAAGGCGGGCUCAGGUAAUUAUCAUCGUUAUCGACUGGCGAGAGGUCGGUGUGUGCCGUGUCCAGCAGAAAUGAAAUGCCACGCAUGAGCUGUCGUGCAUCCCAGCUCUGGACAAUUCAUACCGAUCGCUUAGCAACCACUUGUGAGCAGAGUGGGGGUUGGGGGGCAGUACGGAGGACUGGGAUUAUCAAAGGUAAUUGAGUUCACCUGCCCCCUGCUGUUACUGGGGGCCCCCCUCAUAGGCCUAUCAGCAAAGUGCCCUUUACCCCCCCCCCGCCAGUUCCCCUGGCCACUGUCUGCACUGGGCUCCCUGCUCCCCAGCACUUGAUGGGUCUCCUCUCCGGCCGAUAGACCCUUGGCUCUUAGCUUGAUUUUGUAAAUAAAACCCCUCUGACCUGCGUUGUCAGUAAUUCAUGGCACAGUGUACAGGAGCUGUGUCACUGGAGCAGAGCGCUCUGGUACCUUCCGGAAGCUAUGGCUCUUUUCAGACACGGAGUCUGGACCCAGGUGGAAGAUGGAGGUUUUAUAAUUCAACUCCGUCACCUGCUGUGGAAUUCUCCGCAGCUUUUAAUCGGUGAGAAAACCACACGGUUUAAAGCCAGCUGACAGAAAUUAACAUGAUUGUAAUAAAUGAGUUUGUGCGUCGGCUCGGUGCUCAGUACCGUGCCGGUCUCUCCGGAGCUCCAAAGCCGCCCUCAUCCAUCGCCGGCGCAGCGUCCCUGUGUCCGAUAUGGCCUGAAAUAAAGCCUGUUUGACAAGUCAAGAAUGGAGAUGUGGUCUGGGAGGCCUGACUCAAUAAUGCGGAGUGUGCAGACACCCCCAUCCCUCCCCCACGGAGACAGCAGGCGGUCGCUCCUCUACUCCGGGCUCUUUUUUUAUAACUACUUCCGCUUCUCUAUUUACAUGGUUGCUUCACAAAAACACCUGCAUUUGUUUUCCUGUCAGAGUCACACUCUGGAAAUAAAGCUUGUCAGUGUC